rnacentral:rRNA from 1 species
UGGGGUAUAUUGGACAAUGGGCGGAAGCCUGAUCCAGCCAUGCCGCGUGUGUGAAGAAGGCCUUUUGGUUGUAAAGCACUUUAAGCGAGGAGGAGGCUACUUGGAUUAAUACUCUAGGAUAGUGGACGUUACUCGCAGAAUAAGCACCGGCUAACUCUGUGCCAGCAGCCGCGGUAAUACAGAGGGUGCGAGCGUUAAUCGGAUUUACUGGGCGUAAAGCGUGCGUAGGCGGCUUCUUAAGUCGGAUGUGAAAUCCCUGAGCUUAACUUAGGAAUUGCAUUCGAUACUGGGAAGCUAGAGUAUGGGAGAGGAUGGUAGAAUUCCAGGUGUAGCGGUGAAAUGCGUAGAGAUCUGGAGGAAUACCGAUGGCGAAGGCAGCCAUCUGGCCUAAUACUGACGCUGAGGUACGAAAGCAUGGGGAGCAAACAGG